rnacentral:tRNA from 1 species
GGCCGGUUAGCUCAGUCGGCCAGAGCGUGGUGCUAAUAACGCUAAGGUCGUGAGUUCGAUCUCACACCGGCCA